GAGGGAUCAUUAUAGAGUUUUCUAAACUCCCAACCCAUGGUGAACUUACCUUUUGUUGCCUCGGCAGAAGUUAUAGGUCUUCUUAUAGCUGCUGCCGGUGGACCAUUAAACUCUUGUUAUUUUAUGUAAUCUGAGCGUCUUAUUUUAAUAAGUCAAAACUUUCAACAACGGAUCUCUUGGUUCUGGCAUCGAUGAAGAACGCAGCGAAAUGCGAUAAGUAAUGUGAAUUGCAGAAUUCAGUGAAUCAUCGAAUCUUUGAACGCACAUUGCGCCCAUUAGUAUUCUAGUGGGCAUGCCUGUUCGAGCGUCAUUUCAACCCUUAAGCCUAGCUUAGUGUUGGGAAUCUACUUCUCUUAGGAGUUGUAGUUCCUGAAAUACAACGGCGGAUUUGUAGUAUCCUCUGAGCGUAGUAAUUUUUUUCUCGCUUUUGUUAGGUGCUAUAACUCCCAGCCGCUAAACCCCCAAUUUUUUGUGGUUGACCUCGGAUCAGGUAGGAAUACCCGCUGAACUUAAGCAUAUCAAUAAGCGGAGGAAAAGAAACCAACAGGGAUUGCCUUAGUAACGGCGAGUGAAGCGGCAACAGCUCAAAUUUGAAAUCUGGCCCUUGGGUCCGAAUUGUAAUUUGUAGAGGAUGAUUUKGGUGCGGUAUCUUCCGAGUUCCUUGGAACAGGACGCCUUAGAGGGUGAGAGCCCCGUACGGUUGAAUGCCUAGCCUCUGUAAAUCUCCUUCGACGAGUCGAGUAGUUUGGGAAUGCUGCUCUAAAUGGGAGGUAAAUUUCUUCUAAAGCUAAAUAUUGGCCAGAGACCGAUAGCGCACAAGUAGAGUGAUCGAAAGAUGAAAAGCACUUUGAAAAGAGGGUUAAAUAGCACGUGAAAUUGUUGAAAGGGAAGGAUUUGUGACCAGACUUUUUCUGGGCGGAUCAUCCGGGGUUCUCUCCGGUGCACUUCGCCCAGUAAAGGCCAGCAUCGGUUUUCGGCGUGGGAUAAAAGCAGUAGGAAUGUGGCUCUCUACGGGGAGUGUUAUAGCCUAUUGUAUAAUACCGCGCUGGGGACCGAGGU
rnacentral:rRNA from 1 species